GGGGCGGCACAGGGUCCAGGGAGUCAGGGUGUGGGCCCCUCCUUCCCCCGAGUUUGGUUUGUGCCAAAUAGGGGCGGGCCCCCAUCUUCUGGCCCGACUGUGAAAUGAGCUGGCCUGGGCCCAGUCGCCCGCUGGAGCGGUUCGGGGGAAGUCCCGGGGAGUGAGGCACCGAGGUGCCUGGUCCUGUUUCCCGGCAGCCGGGCCGGGAGGGGGAGAAGGUGCGAGCAGCCGGCCUGGAGCUCGCGCCCUGCCCCCACCCAGGCUGCGGCGGCGCGGGGAGGAAGCGCGUAUAGGUGGAGCGCAAAGUUUCCCUUUUUCUUUCUCGUCACAGCAGCCCCAACGCCGGCGGGCGGGGAUGCCUAACUUCAGUUUGCAGGGGUCCGGAGCCUAACGGGUUAAAAUUAACGCCUCCUCCACUUCCCGCCUCCCCGAAAGGUCCACCCCGCCAGCCAUGGGCAGCCGCGAUCACCUGUUCAAAGUGCUGGUGGUGGGGGACGCCGCGGUGGGCAAGACGUCCCUGGUGCAGCGUUAUUCCCAGGACAGCUUCAGCAAACACUACAAGUCCACGGUGGGAGUGGAUUUCGCUCUGAAAGUUCUCCAGUGGUCUGACUCAGAGAUGGUGCGGCUCCAGCUGUGGGAUAUUGCAGGGCAGGAGCGUUUCACUUCUAUGACACGCCUGUACUAUCGGGAUGCCUCUGCCUGUGUUAUUAUGUUUGAUGUUACCAAUGCCACUACCUUUAGCAACAGCCAGAGAUGGAAACAGGACCUGGACAGCAAGCUCACGCUGCCUAAUGGAGAGCCCGUGCCCUGCCUGCUCUUGGCGAACAAGUGUGAUCUGUCCCCUUGGGCAGUGAGCCGAGACCAGGUUGACCGAUUCAGUAAAGAGAACGGUUUCACAGGUUGGACAGAAACAUCAGUCAAGGAGAACAAAAAUAUUAAUGAGGCCAUGAGAGUCCUCAUUGAAAAGAUGAUGAGCAAUUCCAGAGAGGAUGUGUCUUCCUCCACCCAAGGGGACUACAUCAACCUGAAAACCAAGCCGUCCUCCCCCUGGGCCUGCUGCUAAUAGUGUUUGGCUUGUUUUCCCUCCCAGUUCUAGGAGGUCUUUCAUCUCUUCCCUUUGGUCGCCCACCCAGCAAUUUUAUUCAGUACAUUUGAACUGUCUCUUGCUCACUCUUCAGUGAGGAGGGCCAUCAUCACUGAGAGAAGACACCUGGGAGCCAGGUGCAUUUCUGCAUCUCCUGCAAGUUGGUUCUCACUUGCUGCUGGCUCAUGUGGCCCAGUUAGUGCCUUCUGGAUAAGAAAGAUCGUUGUCUCAUCUCUCAAUUUGUGAUCUGGGAUUUGUGGGAAGGAUUAGAAAUCAGCAUCUUUGUUUUAAGGAUCAUAACGCUGACCUGCUUUUGAGCUUAUUUUUCCAUUUGAUGUAUGUUGAUUUCUCAGUCUGAUGUGACUUCAGAUCGCAAGGAAAAUGAGAUCAAAAGCCAUUUGCCAAAUUCCUUGUAGUUCAUUGCUUUCAGAUCCUUUCUGUCUUGGACUUUCAAUUCAAACAUCUGAUUCUGAGAUGCAGAAGGAGAGGGGCUGCAUGUCUUUGGGUUUGGACUACCGGAGGUGACCGAAAAGUCACCGUAUUUUUGAAGCUUCUAAAGUCACAAUUAGCUUUCUCUUGUCUUCUCUUCAAGAGUAGUCAAGACUAUCUAUCAUAUGUAAUGAGAGCAUUUCUUUCCCCAAAGAAAGAAAUUCUCACGUUAGGCUUUUCUAGUGUCUCCCUCCCGCGGGCGUUCCUGGGGGGAUGUCUUGAUGCAUAAUGCUGCAAGUGACCGCGGUCGGCUGUGAUGCCCUGAAAUAGGUCUGUUCCUCGCAGCUCUGGGAGUCUGAGUGGAAGAGGAGGGAGAGGUUAACAGAACAAAAUCCCGUGAGGCAACUUGCUUAGAAUUUUCCGUGUUUGAGACAAGACGCCCCUCCAACCACUCAGCUGGUCUACGGCCAAAAAGAAAACAUAAGCGUUCCCUGCAGACUCAAGGUCUGAGGUUGUGAGAGAGCCAAGGAAGGGCUGAGAACAGAGCUGUGGGACUGUGACUGCCCUGGCUUUCUUCUUUGAACAGAACAGCUGAGUGACCAAACAAGCAGGGAAAAAGAGACCACAGGUCAAGGAAGCCUCCUCAGCAGUGGUUCGUCUUCUGUCCUCAGGACACUGUCCCAGCUGACAUGAGACGUUUCCUGCCUGUCGUCGUCCUUUUGUAGGCAGUGGCCUGCUUUUGACUUGAUCUAAGGCCGUGGUUAGAAGACGUGAAAAUCUCCGUGGUAUUUUGUAAAAUCCAGUGAGCUGAUUGCCCGAGGAAACAGACCGCAGUGCCCUUUGCCCCCCGCCCAUUUUGGGUCGCUAUGGAUGGGAAAAGUCCUCAGCUGUGAAAGUGACUCAUUUAUUAAAGCUGAACGAUCCCAAAGCUGCAGGCUGGGCCAGGUGGGAAGCCACAGAGAGUGGCAGGGUUGGAAAAGAUGCUACGUGUAUUUUUGAUUCGGCCAUAAAUACCAGAGACUUGAGAAUGUAGCUACAUAUGACCUUUGUUAUUGUUAGAAAAAAACCUGCCUUCCCUUUGGCUUUCAAGCAUAAUCUGAAUUCUCUCGAGUUCCAUCUGCAGAGUUUCAGUCUGAUAAUGGAAUUGCUCUGUAUUAGGGUUUUCCAGGGAAACAGAACUAGUAGGAUAUGCGUAUAUGUAAAGGGAUUUAUCAUAAGGAAUUGGCUCAUGCAAUUAUGGAGGCUGGAAAGUCCAAAAUCUGCAGAGCUGAUGUCCCAGUUCAGGUCCCAAGGUUAGCAGGCUGGAAGAGCAGACAUUCUGGUUCAGAGGCCGUCAGGCAGGAGAAUUACUCAAGAGAGGGUCAACCUUUUGUUCUGUUUAGGCCUUCAACUGAUUGGAUGAGGCCCACACACAUUAGGGAGGGCAAUCUGAUUUACUUAGUCUACCAAUUUAAGUGUUAAUCUCAUCCAGAACACCCUCACAGAAACACCCAGAAUAAUGUUUGACCAAAUACCCCAUGGCCCAGUCAAGUUGACAUAAAAUUAACCGUCACGUGCUCUUAACAGUCCUUUACUGUGUGAGGGUACGUUUUGAUGCCUUUUCUGCACACUCUAAUUUAAUUUGAUUCACACUCAAAGCCCGUCUGAUUAGGAACUAACUAACUACAUGUUAAUGGGAAUAAGAAGAAGAAGGCAGCUAGUCAGCUUUUUAUGAGUUGUCAUGAGAUGAGAAGGGCAGCCUAGCAGCACUGGAUACCAAUAUCUGAAUUUGUAUAAACUUCCCUCAGAUCUGUGAGUUGUGUAUGCUUCUUACACUGUCUUGGAAAUAAGAAAGAAAACAGUUCUUCCUAUUUUAUGUUUGAGGCAACCAGUGUCUCAGAAUUUGACUGACUGAGGGCUGGCCCCGUGCAGCGGUUAAGUGCGCAUGUUCUGCUUCAGCAGCCCAGGGUUCGCCGGUUUGGAUCCUGGGUGUGGACUGACACACCGCUUGUCAAGCCAUGCUGUG